rnacentral:rRNA from 1 species
AACGAACGCUGGCGGCAUGCCUAACACAUGCAAGUCGAACGAGCCCUUCGGGUCUAGUGGCGCAAGGGUGCGUAACGCGUGGGAACCUGCCCUUAGGUUCGGAAUAACUACCCGAAAGGGGUGCUAGUACCGGAUAAUGUCUUCGGACCAAAGAUUUAUCGCCUCUGGAUGGGCCCGCGAUGGAUUAGCUAGUUGGUAGGGUAAAAGCCUACCAAGGCGACGAUCCAUAGCUGGUCUGGGAGGAUGAUCAGCCACCCUGGGACUGGGACACGGCCCAGACUCCUACGGGUGGCAGCAGUGGGGAAUAUUGGACAAUGGGCGAAAGACUGAUGCAGCCAGGCCGCGUGAGUCAUGAAGGCCUUAGGGUUGUAAAGCUCUUUUACCCGGGAUGAUAAUGACAGUACCGGGAGAAUAAGCUCCGGCUAACUCCGUG